rnacentral:rRNA from 1 species
UGGGGAAUUUUGGACAAUGGGCGCAAGCCUGAUCCAGCCAUGCCGCGUGCGGGAAGAAGGCCUUCGGGUUGUAAACCGCUUUUGUCAGGGAAGAAAUCUUCUGAGUUAAUACCUCGGGAGGAUGACGGUACCUGAAGAAUAAGCACCGGCUAACUACGUGCCAGCAGCCGCGGUAAUACGUAGGGUGCAAGCGUUAAUCGGAAUUACUGGGCGUAAAGCGUGCGCAGGCGGUUUUGUAAGACAGAGGUGAAAUCCCCGGGCUCAACCUGGGAACUGCCUUUGUGACUGCAAGGCUUGAGUGCGGCAGAGGGGGAUGGAAUUCCGCGUGUAGCAGUGAAAUGCGUAGAUAUGCGGAGGAACACCGAUGGCGAAGGCAAUCCCCUGGGCCUGCACUGACGCUCAUGCACGAAAGCGUGGGGAGCAAACAGGAUUAGAUAGCCCUGGUAGUCCACGCCCUAAACGAUGUCAACUGGUUGUUGGGAAGGUUCCUUCUCAGUAACGUAGCUAACGCGUGAAGUUGACCGCCUGGGGAGUACGGCCGCAAGAUUAAAAGCUCAAAUGAAUUGACGGGGUCAUAGCUG